ACACGUAGGGGGCAAGCGUUGUUCGGAAUUACUGGGCGUAAAGGGCAUGUAGGCGGUUUUGUAAGCCUGGCGUGAAAGGCUGCAGCUCAACUGUAGCACUGCGCUGGGAACUGUGAGACUUGAGUCACGGAGAGGGAGCCAGAAUUCCAGGUGUAGGGGUGAAAUCUGUAGAUAUCUGGAAGAAUACCAAUGGCGAAGGCAGGCUUCUGGCCGAUGACUGACGCUGAGGUGCGAAAGCGUGGGUAGCAAACAGGAUUAGAUACCCUGGUAGUCCACGCGGUAAACGAUGCACACUAGGUGCCGGGGCGGACGCUUCGGUGCCGGAGCCAACGUGGUAAGUGUGCCGCCUGGGGAGUAUGCUCGCAAGGGUGAA
rnacentral:rRNA from 1 species